rnacentral:misc_RNA from 1 species
UUAAGUUCAGCGGGUAUUCCUACCUGAUCCGAGGCCAACCUUUUUGUGCUAUGGGGGGCGUUUCACGGCCGGGACCCGCAGAACGACCGGAGCGAGGUGUAUGCUACUGCGCUCGGUGUUGCUAGCGAGCCCGCCACUGGUUUCAGGGCCUGCGGGCAGCCGCAGGUCCCCAACGCAAGCGGGGCUUGAUGGUUGAAAUG